ACUCUCUUAGUAUAAACAGUACCACUGACUUCCAAUCAGUGAGCCUCGACAGACCCGAGAGAGAGUA
ensembl:Mt_tRNA